CUAAUGUUUCUUACUUCCUGCCAACCCUGGCUUUCCUUCCAUCAGGGAAGCGUUCAGUUCUCUCUACUCCUAAUAUGCUCACAAAUGAACACAUUUCCUCAGCUGCUGCUGACUUUUCAUGGACUCUCUCUCUCUCUCUCUGUUGCCCUGUUUGCCAGUUGGGGCCUGGUGGUACCAGUGUUUUCCUGAGCCUGGUCUGAGCUCCUGAAGCCCUCUGUCCCCUAGUUCUGUGGACCGCCUAGGCUCUGGAGCCUCUGGCUCGUGCUGUGUGCCAUUCUGUCCCUUCCCCUUCCCUGUCUUCCUCCCAUGGGUGUCGAGUUGCUUCCAGUGCCAGUACAUCUUCAGCCAGAGCCUCUCAGUCACUAAUCUUUAUGUUAAACGUAAGUUUCAACUACAGGGCAGGUGGCUCUCAUGUCCCACUAACAUUUUACCUUAUAAUCUGCAAGGCUGGCAAUACACGAUAAUUCAAUUCAAAAGCCACAGUGGUCGUAUGACCUGGAUUCAUAGACAAAAUUUUAUAACUGGGUUGUGGCUCCACCUUUCACAUAUCCUCAUUUCACGUCUAAAGUCAUCUAUCUCUGUUCUCGUGUGGACGUGACUGCUGUGUGCCAAGGGCCAAGGGUACAGGUUGCUGUCACUUAGCUGUGUCGAGUACGCUUUUUACAUGCUGGGCACAAAAGGCAUUCUUAGAAAAAGGCACAGAGUCAGAGGCUGCAGCAGGGAGGAGACAAGGUACACAGGACAGCAAUCUGAGCUUAACUGGGAGCAAAUCAGAACAUGCAGGCACAUUUGGUUGUAUUGCUGAGCUAAGCUUUGUUUGGGUCUGAUCUUCCAAUCUGUGGCCUCAGGGCAAACAGGUGAUCAGGCGUGCGUGUGCGUGUGUGUGUGUGUGUGUGUGUGUGUGUGUGUGUGUGUGUUCAGCAUUUGCGCAGCUGGCUGGCAUGCAAGAUAGACACUGUUACAAAUUCUUUACCACAAAAGAGGAACGCUGCACAGAGGUGGUCAAGAACCCAGAUACAGGAAAGCACCUAGCACAUGUACAACCCCAUCCUCCCCGAAGCUGCCUUGGCUAUGGGACUUCUUUGGCUGAGUUGCUGAGGGAACGGGGGAACGGGCUACUUCCAUACAGAGUUGUAACAGCCUGUCUGUGAUCUGCUGUCCCCCCUUACCUGCCUCAGUGAUGGUGGGAGUGUGUGUCUCGAUCCUGUGGGCGGGCGGGCGGGUGCCUGAGCGACGAUGAGAAGCAGAGCCCUCUGCUGACCUGAACUAGAGAUGCACAAAAAGGAAGGAACGGUGGCUAAAGGAUAAACAGUGUGACAUCAAUCUCAGCUCAAACGUGUGCUCUGCGGAGGGGACCCUGGACGAUCAAGGUGUCAACAGCGCUCUCGGCCUGGGCCCCCAGAAGGGAAGCUACACAUACAAUGUGGCACGCAUAUCUGAUAGGUAAACACUAUUCGUCUAUCACAUUUUGCCUGAUCCUCCCACACUGAGACAAGCACUUGGUUGCCCCAGAGCCUAGAGCCUGUCCUCUGUUAUUUCACCAGAUCUCUGACACGAUCUGUUUCUGUCUGAGUCUGCCUGCUGCGGCGUGUAGCCCGGGAUCUACUCACCGCAACCUGGAACCUGACCCGGCAUCUAGUAGAAAUUCAAGCACGCUUGCAGAACUGGAUUGGAUUGGGGUGGGGUUGGCUCAGUUUAUAAACAGACAUAUGUCAAGAAUUCAUCUUUCCUUUCUGUGGUGCACUGACUUAGGAGCAUCUUAUUAUUAAUGAUCUCCUACAGGCAAUGGAAGAAAGGACAUUUGGCCCGGAACCCCAGUUCGGGUGCCCGACAAUAGGAAAUUGGAAACACUGUCCUGCUGAUGACAACAGCAUAAACCUUGAAAAUGCACUUUUAAUAAAGGGUGGCUAGAAUGCCAAUUUAGCACAUAGCUGGUGCGUUCAGACAGAACCUAGUAAGAGGAAAGGAAAUUUACUUUCUAAGGAUUAAGUCUCCUACCCAGCUGUAAUUUAGGCUUUAAGGCUCCUCACAUGGUAUAAACAUCCCUCUAUUAAUUGGAAACAUUGCUGGUUAACAUAUACAUCUCAAUUUCAAAGUGUUUUAUAUUCUGUACUACACUUGGAAAAUAUUUUCCAAUGGGCAUGUGGCUAAUCUCUCAUAUGACUUCAGGAUCAGUGCUUGGUAGAAUUUAUUAAAAGAUAAAUUCAAGAGAACUUCUGUCUUUUCAAAGGGAACAGGAAGGUCACUGCUGGAAAAAGACCAAGCUCCCUCUUUUAUGGAGGAGAAAACCAAGGCCCAGAAGGUGAGGUGACUUCCCAAAAUCACACAGCCUUCAGGCGGAGGCAGCAUCAUGUGGGAAGGUCCUGAGUCAGAGAACCUGGAGUGGGUGUGGGGUGAGGCAGAAUGGAUGGCCAGGGACUGGGGGGCCAUGUGAAGGGGUUUGGAUUGCAUUUCACAUUCAAUGGGCAGCAGUUGAAGGGUUUCAUGCAGGGAAAUGCUGGCAUCUGACCCGUGUUUUCUAAUAUAAAGACCAAACUUCUGCUGGAAGGAUAAAGACCAGCUGGAGGCUUUUACUGUGAUGCAGCUGUGAGAUGAUAGGGACCCAGGUGAAGGUGUGACAGUGGACUUGGAAAGAAGAGAAUGAGGAUGAAAUAUAUUUUAGAAUCGGGGAUGAAAUACACUUUGGAAUCAGAAUCAAGAGG